GUUUGCUGACAGUGAUGGGUGUGAGCUAAAGCUCACUUGCUCUUGCCCCUUCAGAUACAACCAGCUACUGUCCUGCAGAGAUGGGCAUCUGCCAACCUGCAGAGUCCAGUGUUUUGAUAGAACAACUCUCUCGAUAUUCUUCUCUAACCCCCUCUUACCCUUCGAGCAUUUCAAACACUGUCCUGGACUCUUCUCCCUCACCUCCAGCACAGAGGCACAGAGUGGAGAAGAAACACAGCACCAGGACCCUCUUUCCUAUCUGUUUAGAGAGAAGAGGGUGGAGAGGGUAUGGGCGGGAAAGUAAAUAGAGACUAAGGGUAGGAGGAGAGAGGGGCAGGAUGGGAGGGAGACAGGGCAUGAGGGAGAAAGAGAAGUCAUUGAUGGGCAGAGGGUGAAGGGAGAAGAGGAGAGAGAAAAUGAGGGGUGGAGGGAAGCUUGCCAUGGAGGGCACAGAAUGCAUUUCCCCCUCAGAACACUGGCUUGAAGCAGAGAAAAUGAAUUUUAGUGAUAUUCAAGGUUGAAACACGCACCAGCAGUAGACACACUUAGAAAUGGCUUAAUAAAUGCAUUAACAAUCUACAAAGACACAGAAAGGUCCAAGAAUUCUAAAUCCUCUCUCCCCUCUAGGUCUCAGCAGACCAAAGCAAGUUAUUUUCUGAUGAAAGGAUUUCAUCGGACCUUGAUGCUCACUUGGAUUUUUAAGUGGAAAAAGGUCACUGUGUCUCUGUGCAGUUGCAUCAUGCAAUUCUAAUGAGAGAGGCUUCUCAGUCACUCCAAAUGUGACCGCGUGUGCAGAUCCUCAUGUUCUCAGACACCAGCCCCUUCUCCCAGACUGGCUUGCUCCAAACUGCAAUCCUCUGAGGCCCAUGAUCAGUGUCCUGGUCUGAGGCACAUGGAGUGUGUCACCCAGAAUUUUUGGAAUGGAAAUGCACUGAUCCUCACAAGAGGCAAUCACCAUUACACCAAGGGAGCUUCUAUGGCUUUCUGUUUGAUCGCAGUUCUACUCCAGGAGGCUGCCACUCUGUUAUGCCCAGGAUAGGUUCAUGAAGUGGAUUCCUGAAAUGCUGCGAUUCACAGAGGGUUUCCUCUCGCGUGUGACUGAAUUUAUCAACAUGUUUAAUAAAGCUACGUGAUCUCCCGCAGGCGUUGGCUGCAUAGCAUCGCGUGUCCACCAGAGCUGCCUCCCUCCCUGAGUCAACGCAUCCCUGAAGAUACACAGCUUAUGUCAGCAGCACAGACCUGCAUCCCCCAUGGUGACUCAAUUUACAUUCCAUACCCUUGCCCCUGCAUGGGGGUCUUCUUGGAAACUCUGAGACAAGUUGGCUGUGUUAGGAGUCCCCUGAUCUCAAUCUUGCCCAGCCCUAUGUGAACUUAGGUCUCUGGAGACUAAGAAGCCCCAUGGGCAGAGGAGGAGGAGCAGCAAAGGCCCCAAGCAUGAAGUGAUUUGGGGGGAGGAGAGAGGAGUUUCCAGAGAGGGUGAGCACCCCAUCCCCACUGCGGCACUGUCCCUCUGCCAAUGCACACGAUACAGCGGGAGUCCUUCCUCCCGCCUGGCUGUGCAGAGUGGCCCUGGGACCUCUAGGUGGGCAGAGAGCGGGAGGUGCAGCAGAUGGAGACGGGCUCCUUAUACUCUCUCCUCACUGCUGGGGAGGAUAGAAGCAGGAGCCACGUGGCUUCAGAGCCUCCUGUUCCUCCCCUUCCCCAAAUUCCUAUCAACAGCUAACCAAAUCCCUGCAAACACCCGCUCUCCAAGCACCUGCUAAGAACCAGGGGUCCUUGGCAGAGGACUCCCCUCGCAGUGGGUGCUCAGAGCCCACUGAUCUUGCCCCUCCGCUGGCCCGGCUAUGGGAACUGGCAGGUGGCAGCGGAGCUGGAACUUAGGAAGGGCAGGAUGUCAGCUUGGAGCCAUGCCGGCUGUCACCAGAGGCCGCCCCUCCCACAGCUAAGCCUUCCCGGGUGUUGUGUCAUGAGCACACACAGUCCGGAGUCUCCGACACCACUUUGUUUCCCCUGCUCUAUCCAUGGGGCCACCUCUCACUUUCCCAAAAGAGAGGGCAGGGUGUCAAGCCGUCUCACAGAUGGCAGAGCAGAUGCCUGACCAUACUCUCGAGCAGCUUCAGAGAAGUAUUUAUGCCCUGAAGUGGUUUCUUCAGGUGACCAGAUGAAGGUGAGUUGCUGGACACCACCUACCCCAAGGCCCCUGUCCUCAGGGAGCUCAGGUCCGUGCCCCUCAGAGGUUCAUGCCCCUCAGAGCCAGCCAGCUCCCCCUUCCACCUAACCCUGACCAGCAGGAGACCUGUGGAAGUCAGGGGUCGGCCGUGCCCCCUUUCCUCAACCUUCCUGCCUCUCAGCCUUCCCAGGCUGCAGAAUUUCACCCCUCAGAGGCUUCCAGAGUCUGCCCACUCCUGUGAGGAACCACCGUCCUCCAUAAAUGAAAUGCAGCCCUUUCCCUGGGGAAGCAUGGGGGGCUUACUGAACCCGCUUCUGUGAGGCUGGGCUUGACUAGUGGGCAAAGCUGAGUGUGGCUGGGCCUGGCUGCUCCAGCGGGGCGGUCCCUGCUGCUCCCCGACCCAGAAGGUGGCCUGUGGCCAGAACGUGGUCUUAGAGCUCAGCCCUGACCAGCUUGUGAACUCAGCCCCGGUCGACCCAGGAGGAAGCACAGGUCUCUUGUCUCACUGAGUCUCAUCCCCUCAGCCACAGACCUUCCUCCCCAUCUCCUCCACCCGCAGAGGUAACCGAGGGCUGGGAUGGGGCUAGGAGGCCUCGUAUAACUGUGGGAACUGUGGCUGGAGGGUGUCAGAGAGAGAACGCGGAAUUCCAGUCUAGUGUGGAAGUGAGGUGAGAGAUGCAGAUUGCGGUUUUAAAAUCUAUAUAAAAUUACCAACUUGAAUAUUUCCUUAUGACUCCUGGAAUUCUACUUCUCGGCCCCUAAGUGUGGACAUCUGAUGCAGUUCUGGAAUGUAGAAGGGUUUUAUAAAGGUUUCAGGAAAUGUUCUUCUUUCCCUAUUACAAGAAACAAUUGACGUUUCUGCUCCUAUAUGCUUUUCUUUCUGCUUUAAAAGCAGAUAAAAUUUUCAGCUACAGCUUCAAGCUAGUGAAUAAAGCUGUGGAAAUCUGGUUUCAAUACAUAGAAUUCUACCUCUGCGAUGACUGCCUGGCGGUGGCUGUUACGUGAUUCCGGGGACGUAAGGCCUGUGAGAGUGAGGUCAGGGCUCUGCUGCACUGGGAAGCGUGGGGGCCGGCAGGUCAUGAUGAUGUUGGAAAAACUUCAUCUAGAUCACUUUCAGGAUAUCAUGCGAUACUCAGUGUGGUAGGAAGAGAUCAGUACAAUGCUUCUACUUGUACAGCAUAACCUAGGUAUGCAGAGGGCAAAAGACAGAAACCUGUGAUCAAGUCAGCACUAGAGCCUAGGAUCUAUUAACUCCCUAUGUACUGUGGUUUUCCUGGAGAAAGAAAUUAGUAAAUGAUAAAAUUGCAGCAGUCAGAUAUAAAAUACAGAGUUGUCUAUGAGUGAAUAGACAUUUAAGAAACAGCAUGCAUAGCUUCACAGAUAAUCCGGUGACGUAGAUUGAAAGUUUGUUUCCUUCCAAGAUUCCAAUGUGAAAAUCCCAACCUGGGAAGGAAUGAACAAACGCUGCUGAACCCAGGAGGCCCAGCAAGUGGGCAGUGCGCUCCAGUGGGCCUGGAAGGCAGAGCAUUGAGCCAAAGGAAAUCGGGUUCAACGCUCUUCAUUCCAGGGAGUUUGCCUUGUGGUUUGGACUUGCCUGAGAUCCAUCACUCCUUUCUUCUUUCCUAUUUCUGUCUCGGGAGAAAUGUCUGUCCUAUGCUUGCAGCACUACUCUACUCUGGAAGCACAUAACAUUUAGUUUCACAGAUUCCUGCCUAGAGAGAAAUUUGUUUCAAGAUGACUUUUACCUUGAGUCUUAGCCAUAUCUAAUUUAGAGGAUAUUUAUAUAAGACUUCCGAUUUGAGAUUUAGAGUUGACACUGAUGGGGUUGAGAUUUUGGGGCUACUGGGAUGUAAUUAGUGUAUUUUGCAUGUUAGAAGCACUCUAGGCCCGGAGCUGAAUGCUGCAGCCUGAUGGUUUAUGUCUCUUCAAGAUGCGUAUGUUGAACUCCUAACACCUAAGGUGAUGGUAUUAGAAGGUGGGGCCUUUGGGAGGUGAUUAGAUCAUAAAGGUGAGGCCUUCAUGAAUGGGAUCAGUGCCCUCCUAGAAGAGACCCCACAGAGCUCUCUCACCUUCCAUAUGGGGACACAGUGACAAGACGACUGCCUAUAAACCAGGAAGUAAGCCGUCACCAGACACUGAAUUCUCAGCACCUGGAUUUUGGACUUCUGGUCUUCAUAACUGAGAAAUGCAUUUCUGUUGUUUGUAAGACAGUCUAUGGUAUUCUGGUAUGGAAGCCUGAAUGGACUAACACAUUCAAUAACUCAAAGUGAUGUUUUAAGAACAGAAGAUCUUGCCAACUGAAGGCACAGGCUUCCUCCCUCCUUACCUUCCUCUCACCCACAUGGCUUCCCACCCCAUCCCUUCACCACUUUUGUCACACCAACGCCACCUUCCCCUUUACCUCUCCCCCAGCAUCAAGCCAACACUGCUGAUUGCUGCUGACCUUCUGCUAAUGCUAAAUUUAAAAUCAACUUUUUAUUUAGAAAGUUUAAAACUUAAAUUAUAGACUUGGACCUAGGUGGAAGAGAGAAAGAAAAAAAGAUUUCUAGACCCUGAGACAAACUCAUACAUCUGUCCAUAAAUCUGCUCAUUUCAUUUUAUGGAAACAAAGAAAUAUGCUUAGUGGGUAGAUUUAAAUACUCAGACACUUAAAGUAUAAGAUAGCAUGGCAACAACUAGUGGUGAGAAGAGUAGGGAGAGGUCCUGAUUCUGCAUUCCCCAAGAGCCUGAUCUGAUUACAAUCUUUUGUUGAAAUUACUCAAUUGUUAUUUUUAAGUAUUUGAUUUUCCCAGCUUUUUGUAAAAAUUAAAUAGACAGACAGACAUACAUACACUGUGAAGCUAAAGGCUAAGAUUCAGCUGAUUUUCCAAAGCUAAUCAUGAGAGUGGAUGUUGUUUAUGGAAGCUGAACAAUAUGACUUUCAUCACCAGGCAGUGGCCCCUGGGCAAAGACUCCAGGGUCUCUGGAUAAGAAGAAACUGAUAGGGAAAAAUGGCAGAAAUGCUGCAAUAAACAACCCUAAUGAAGAAGAAAUGUAAAUCCAUAUAUAACCAAGAAUGGUUAUUUCAGCUUCCUUCUCCUCCUUCUCCUUCUCCUCCUGCUCCUCCUCCUCCUAAGGAUUUUUUUUGUCCCUUUAUCAAUGCAUCAUUUUUCAACUCUGUCACUUCCGCAUAACACAGCCACCCUUUGCUGUUCUCAACUUUUCCUUUUUGUAUUUGUUUGACACUAACUUUUCCCACAGUCUGUAGAUUUCUUUUUGUCCUUUUCUAAUAGUUCAUGUUUUAGAAAUUCAGAACAAACAAUUUCUGAAUGCUCCUCAGAACACCCAUCUCAGGCAGAGAAUCUCACCGAAAUAGAGAAGAAGCUCAUGCUCCUGGAAGAAACAGCCUGAGGAGAGCCGCUGGGCCACAUCUGGCCACUGUCCACAGCGCUGUCAGAUCCAACGAGAGCCGCUGAGUCACAUCUGGCCACCGUCCGCAGCACUCACAUCUGGCCACCGUCCGCUGCGCUCACAUCUGGCCACCGUCCGCAGCGCUCACAUCUGGCCACCGUCCGCAGCGCUCACAUCUGGUCACCAUCCACAGAGCUCACAUCUGGCCACCGUCCGCUGCGCUCACAUCUGGUCACCAUCCACAGCGCUCACAUCUGGCCACCGUCCGCUGCGCUCACAUCUGGCCACCAUCCGCAGCGCUCACAUCUGGCCACCGUCCGCAGCGCUCACAUCUGGCCACCGUCCACUGCGCUCACAUCUGGCCACCGUCCGCAGCGCUCACAUCUGGCCACCGUCCGCUGCGCUCACAUCUGGUCACCGUCCGCAGCGCUCACAUCUGGCCACCGUCCGCAGCGCUCACAUCUGGCCACCGUCCGCAGCGCUCACAUCUGGCCACCGUCCGCAGAGCUCACAUCUGGCCACCGUCCGCAGCGCUCACAUCUGGCCACCGUCCGCUGCGCUCACAUCUGGUCACCGUCCGCAGCGCUCACAUCUGGCCACCGUCCGCAGUGCUCACAUCUGGCCACCGUCCGCUGCGCUCACAUCUGGUCACCGUCCGCAGCGCUCACAUCUGGUCACCGUCCGCUGCGCUCACAUCUGGCCACUGUCCACAGAGCUCACAUCUGGCCACCGUCCCCAGCGCUGUCAGAUGCCGACCAAACCCUGCUUUGGUGUUGAGGUGGUUUGUCUAGUAGCCUCCUUUCUUAAGGGAAUUUAAUCUGCUGCAAAUGGUUCUCAUGUAUGCAAUAGAUGUUACUGUAACUGUUUUAUAAGGUGCAUUGCCUUCACCUUGCCAGGCUCUAUGCCAGUCUGUGUCUAGUCUGAUACCAUUCCUGCACACAUACAUCAAUGCCCCAGCAUUUGGAGGGCUGGAGUUAGGAAUAAUCCUGUUGGUGACUUAUUAUUAACUAUUGUAUGGGACUUAUUAUGUAUCUUCAUGUUCUACUGUUCCCACCUCCCAAACCCCAAAAAAGGAUGAGAUCUGUUUUAUAACAAAAACAUUUACGAUAAGGCCUAUACCAUAAAAUAAGUAAUAAAGUUAAUACCAACAAAAAGAGAAGAAGUAUGAAUUACUGCUGUGGUUAGGGUUGACAUUAUUCCUACGAUUGAGCUUCGAAGACUUUUCUAAGCAGUAAUAAACAUGAACCAAGCGUCACACAGUUCCAUUCAUGGUCCUGACCUGAGAGAGCGCUUUCCUAGAUGGACACCCACUCCCUCUCCCAACUGCCCAACUCAUCAGUAAAUGGAGUUUGAUUUAAGCCAAACCUAAUGCAGUAGUUCCCUGUACUUGAGGUUUUUCCUUCUGGGAUUUCAGUUACCUGUGGUCAACGAGAUCCAAAAAUAUUAAAUAGAAAAUUCUAGAGAUAAACAAUUUACAAGUUCUAAACUGCACGCCUUUCUGGUAGCAUGAUAAAAUCUCAUGCUGUCCUGCUCUGUCCCUCAUGGAAUAUGAAUCAUUCCUUGUCCAGCAUAUCUACUCUUCAUAGCAGCAGUCUAGGUUAUCAGAUUGACAGCUCCAAGAAGAAAAGUGAGUUAAGUACAAUAAUAUAUUUGUGAAGAAAGACCAUAUUUAUAUAAGGUUUGUUACAAAACACUAUCAUAAUUGUUCUAUUUUAUUAUUAGUUGUUAUGGUUAAUCUGUUACUGUACCUAAUUUAUAAAUUAAAAUUUAUCAUAGGUAUGUAUAUAUAAGAAAAAACAAACAAACAAACAAAAAAUAUAUAUAUAGGAUUUGGUACUAUCCACAAUUUCAGCUAUUCACUGGGGUCUAGGAAGAUAUUUUUCAUGGAUAAGAAGGGGGCUGGGGUAUAGCAAAAUAAAAUUAAAUAUGCAAAAAUGUCUAAUCAUAUGACUAAAGAAAAUAUACACGACAUUAGAAAAGAUAAAAGGAUCAGUGGUCAUCAUAGCAGCUUCAAAUUUAGAAUGCAUAUUUACAGUUAGUAAUACAUUUAUAGCAAUCUAUUCAUGAUGGGUGGUAAGAAGAGAGUAAACAAUCUUUCAUUGGUAAAUCUUUUCGAGAUAUCUCAUUGCUGAAUACUUUACAUGCUAUCUCAUUGAAUGUUUAUGAGGAUCUCAAGAAGUAGUCAUAUUCCUAAUAGAGAAAAAAAACUUGAGUUUUUUUUUUCUUGCUAUUUCAGUGUUCCUUUUCCUUUGCCAGUCCUCCAAUAGCUGUUCAAUGAAUCUACAUAUUAAAUUUAAGGCUGACUCCAUCUCCUGAAUCACAGUGGUCAUUCUGCCUCUUGGACUGACUCCAUUCUUCAUUUAUUGAGUCCUUGUGGAUAUAGAGCCUCAGCCCUUGUCAUCCCCUAAGGCAAGUGUUGGUCUGAGAAGCGAAACCAAGCUGGCACAGCACUGUAGGCCUGGGAGGGAAAGUGACAUGUGCCUGCAUCCCAAGGAGUGGGGAUGAUGAAAUCAUGAGGGACUCAAUGAGGCUAUCAUUUGGGGUGCCACUGGAACAUUGAUUAGUGAUGAAAGAGGAGAGACCUUUGGCCUCCUGAGAGAAUAAAUCUGGUCCUCAUGGUGUCUCCUUUCCAAGAUCACCUCGUUCUUCCUGUCUUACCCACUUCUCAGCUUGGGUAAAUAUUAAACCCUCCAGUGAAUGGGGCCAUGUGAAAUUUUAGUCUAUCUAUCUCUACAUCACUGAACAUGUUGGACUCCACUAAUCUUAAGCACAAACAUCAUUUUUCCUCUUAUCAAUGAUCUUUUAGCAUUUUAAGCAACUUUUAUAUAACAAUACUUUUAAUAUUUUUUCUGGUAUCUUGUCUCAGUAUCUUCCCAUGUAGAACAACUCUAUGUAUCACAGAACUACUAAAAGCAAUUAAAUAUGGCAUAUUAAGUUUUUAAACUACAUUCUCUUCAUUAAAAUAACCAGAGUGAAGUUUUAUUCAUAAAAAUAAUGAAGUAAGAG
rnacentral:lncRNA from 1 species